AAAAGUUUCUUAGCGUUAAUUCAAGCUUUGCCACAUGAAGGGAGUAUGUUAGAACCAUGUCCUCUUAACUUGGAGCAUGUACUUCUUGAAAUUGGCCAUCUUAGACAAAAUGCUAAUCAACACAAAAAGUGAAAGAAAGAAAGAAAGAAAAGUUCCAGGAAAUCUAAGUGUAAGCCAUAGAACUAAGAAAGACCAUAUUCAGUUGCAAUCAGAAUCAGAGUCUCUCCUUCUACCACUAUACUUGUAACAUCAACUUACAAACUCUCGAACUAAUCACCAAGCUAAAAAGUUUGUUUCAUCUUAAUGUGAGAGUCAGCUCAAGAUUUUCUUUAAUUGAUCUUCUUAAACAUGUUCUCUAAAGGGGAAUUCUAAUCAACAGAUUGAUCUUUGCUUUUAGUCCAAAAAUACAAGGACAAGAAGAAAUCAGGGCACUAUUUUAUAACACAUGGACCUCAUAAUACAUCCACCAGACUGAACAGUCUAUCACUUAACUAACUUGAAAGAGAUGUCCAAACCAACUCCACAGCAAAAGAUUGAGAUGUGAAGACAAAAGCAAAAGAAUCCACAGUUUCGAGACUUGUUAUAGUUACAAACCUGUUUACAGGGUUUUUCCCUUUAAGACCUAAAAUUAGACAAUGAUCAUCCCUCAAAGGCUAAAAUGAUCAGACAACAUACGCAGAAAAAAGAACAUGAAGAUGAAAUACAAUCAAACACCAACGCCCAUAUAUAAAAAUAGGAAUUUCACUUUCCUAGAAUAUUAAGAUAUAUCACACAAGCCUAAUUAGUCAGGGAAGAUUUACUGGUUAUUCAGCGUAUUGUUUCUAUGCUCUUGCUCAGCUCCUCCAACUUCUUCAGUCGCAGUUUCUCGCUUUCACCCACCAACUGCACGUAUAUUGAACACACAAGAUUCAGUGAGCUUCUGCAAAUCAAAUAUGUUGAGACAAGUUACAAAUACAAACUAGUUUUAAAUUGUACACUCAUACUUACCUCCAUCAAUCUUGUUAUUAGCUGUACUUUUUCCUUGUGCUUUUCAUUGAACGCCUCAAGAGCUUCUUUGUACUCUUUUUCCUGCAUUCACAGAUCCAAAAUGUCUCGUUAAUGAAUGGAUAAG
rnacentral:lncRNA from 1 species